GCCUACGGCCAUACCGCCCUGAAUGCGCUGGAUCACGUCUGACCCCAGAAUUUAAGCAGGGUAGGCCCUGGUUAGUAUUUGAAUGGAAGGAGAAAUGGUGUCAGAGAUU
ensembl:rRNA 5S_rRNA 5S ribosomal RNA